rnacentral:rRNA from 1 species
UACAGAGGUCCCGAGCGUUGUUCGGAUUCACUGGGCGUAAAGGGUGCGUAGGUGGUGAGGUAAGUCGGAUGUGAAAUCUCCAAGCUCAACUUGGAAAUGGCAUUGGAAACUACCUUGCUGGAGGUUUGGAGGGGGACUGGAAUUCUCGGUGUAGCGGUGAAAUGCGUAGAUAUCGAGAGGAACACCUGAGGCGAAGGCGGGUUGCUAGGCUGACACUGACGCUGAAGCGCGAAAGCUAGGGUAGCAAACGGG